AAACGGUGUUUAAAUUAUAAUCUAGGACGGGUGAUGACACACGACCGUAGCUUUAAAUUAGUAUAAAGGUUGGGAAUUUCAAUAUAAGCGACGAUCUGAUGCCUUCAAUUGCAUUAGCCUACUUUAUUCCAAUAUUGUCGUCAUUCAGUUGAUCGUAACUAAGAUAUGGAAAGCUGCAAAAGCCUGUCUGCAGAUGAAGAGGUCCCAGUGAACGUUCCAAGAGACUGCUGGCACAUUCUUGUAUACCAUGGUUUGUAUGUGUACUUACAGUAUGUUAGCACAUGUACACAACAAUACAGUUAAAUGUCACCCACUUAUUACAACUGUAGCAGGACAAUCCUGCUCCUAGAGGUCUGCUGGGUGUGCAGGCUUCUGUUCCAGCCCUGCACUAACACACUUAAUUCAACUUAUCAAACCUAAUGAUUGAUAAUAAUGUGUAUUAUUGCUGGGCUGGAAUAGAAGUCUGCUCACCCAGUAGAUCAGGGAGUGGAUCAAGGUUGGCCACCUCUGGUAUGGACUAUUUUGUUCACCUCAAAUUAUACUUCAGUAGUAGUACAUUACUUACAUUUACAAACGAGCUAGCUUAUUUGUACACUUUGAAAUUAUACGUUGAUUUCAUUCAAUGUUGAUUCAUUCAAUGUUGAUUCAUUCAAUGUUGAUUCAUUCAAUGUUGAUUUCAUUCAAUGUUGAUUUCAUUCAAUGUUGAUUUCAUUCAAUGUUGAUUUCAUUCAAUGUUGAUUUCAUUCAAUGUUGAUUCAUUGAACUGAAGUGUUUAAAGGUGUUUCAAGAUGAACCCGUGUCAAUGUUCAUUAAUCACAAUUCUGCAAGAAAAAAGAGUGAAGAGGAUCUGUCCCAAAACGUUGUGUGUUUCUGUCUCAAAUGAAUAUGACCUUUUUUUUUGUCCAGUUGUGAGCUCUCCAAUCCGUUUUAUUUGAUUGUCACUGUCUCAGGAUAUCAUCCAUGUGAACCCAUUCUGCAGCUUAUCAUAAUGGCAUGCAUCACCAAUGCAGCCAUAGGCAUUACAGGCCUAAUGGGCAUGUGCAAUCAAUGUGUCCCUUGUCAUUGUACUAUAUAUCUGAAGCAGAAAAUAGCUAAAGUCACAUCAUUUGCAUAUUGUUGAGCUAGCUAUAUGACCUGAUACAAGAAGAUCAUGUAUGAGGCUAACCAUAACACAGAUGUUCUACAGGAUUUUUUUUCUGACAUGAAACUGUUUCAUGUGAAUCCAACCCUUGUAUUCUAGGUACAGCACUGAACAUGGAAUAAGCAGCUGUCAAUAUGCAGGCUAAUUAAACAUGUUAAAAAAGGAAAAUCA